AAAUGGCUCAACACUGACUGUCCUGGCCUGCGUGUAAAGGAUUAAACCCUUGGCGCUGGCCAGGUUUUCUCCUCCCGUGACUUUACUGAGCUGGUCUGACCUAAUGCACAGCACUUAUUUAGGUUUUCCCAUAGGAAAGCAUUGAAUCAAUGCUUUCAUAUGGGGAAUUCAAAAACGUUAGCUGUCCUCAUGCAAAGUGUGAGGAUGUCCAACGUCGUUGCAUGGAGUAAAUCUUUGUUAGGGCCCUUUAGUGGCUGUCUACCAGAGACUGUCUACCACAGGGAAUUUAUAUGUUGUGAUAGCUGACGCUCGUUCAUAUGACGGUUCAGUACUGCUGAAUAUCAUCCACUGAAAAAUAUUAUGGGAACCAUUUCAAAAAUCACAAAAGGUGCAAAAAUGGGCCAAUCAGCCUGCUGCUAAAUAUACUCAUAGUAUAAAGAUCAUGUACAUAUUUUGCAGUACACUAAUAGGUGCAUUUUCCCGCAAUUUUCCUAACAGAUUGUGAUGAGAGCCUGAGUGAACUCACUGAAAGGAAGGGGCGGGGCCGGAGGUGACUGGACGUAUUAACUGUCAUUUUUCAAAUGUAAUGCUGCUGCUGAAGAUGGUGGUCUAGCCCCAAGUUAAGCUCUGC